rnacentral:rRNA from 1 species
GCACCCGUCGCUUCNGCGACGGGGAGGUUUUCAAAGAACACUUGUGUCGCCCGUGCUCGAACCAAUUUUGAAUUCUUUU